AGUGAACGCUGGCGGUAGGCCUAACACAUGCAAGUCGAACGGCAGCACAGUAAGAGCUUGCUCUUACGGGUGGCGAGUGGCGGACGGGUGAGGAAUACAUCGGAAUCUACUUUUUCGUGGGGGAUAACGUAGGGAAACUUACGCUAAUACCGCAUACGACCUACGGGUGAAAGCAGGGGAUCUUCGGACCUUGCGCGAUUGAAUGAGCCGAUGUCGGAUUAGCUAGUUGGCGGGGUAAAGGCCCACCAAGCCGACGAUCAGUAGCUGGUCUGAGAGGAUGAUCAGCCACAUUGGGACUGAGACACGGCCCAAACUCCUACGGGAGGCAGCAGUGGGGAAUCUUGCGCAAUGGGCGAAAGCCUGACGCAGCCAUGCCGCGUGAAUGAUGAAGGUCUUAGGAUUGUAAAAUUCUUUCACCGGGGACGAUAAUGACGGUACCCGGAGAAGAAGCCCCGGCUAACUUCGUG
rnacentral:rRNA from 1 species